rnacentral:rRNA from 1 species
GGGAAACAGGUUAAUAUUCCUGUACUUGGUGUUACUGCGAAGGGGGGACGGAGAAGGCUAUGUUGGCCGGGCGACGGUUGUCCCGGUUUAAGCGUGUAGGCUGGUUUUCCAGGCAAAUCCGGAAAAUUAAGGCCGAGGCGUGAUGACGAGGCACUACGGUGCUGAAGCAACAAAUGCCCUGCUUCCAGGAAAAGCCUCUAAGCAUCAGGUAACAUCAAAUCGUACCCCAAACCGACACAGGUGGUCAGGUAGAGAAUACCAAGGCGCUUGAGAGAACUCGGGUGAAGGAACUAGGCAAAAUGGUGCCGUAACUUCGGGAGAAGGCACGCUGAUACGUAGGUGAAGCGACUUGCUCGUGGAGCUGAAAUCAGUCGAAGAUACCAGCUGGCUGCAACUGUUUAUUAAAAACACAGCACUGUGCAAACACGAAAGUGGACGUAUACGGUGUGACGCCUGCCCGGUGCCGGAAGGUUAAUUGAUGGGGUUAGCGCAAGCGAAGCUCUUGAUCGAAGCCCCGGUAAACGGCGGCCGUAACUAUAACGGUCCUAAGGUAGCGAAAUUCCUUGUCGGGUAAGUUCCGACCUGCACGAAUGGCGUAAUGAUGGCCAGGCUGUCUCCACCCGAGACUCAGUGAAAUUGAACUCGCUGUGAAGAUGCAGUGUACCCGCGGCAAGACGGAAAGACCCCGUGAACCUUUACUAUAGCUUGACACUGAACAUUGAGCCUUGAUGUGUAGGAUAGGUGGGAGGCUUUGAAGUGUGGACGCCAGUCUGCAUGGAGCCGACCUUGAAAUACCACCCUUUAAUGUUUGAUGUUCUAACGUGGACCCGUGAUCCGGGUUGCGGACAGUGUCUGGUGGGUAGUUUGACUGGGGCGGUCUCCUCCUAAAGAGUAACGGAGGAGCACGAAGGUUGGCUAAUCCUGGUCGGACAUCAGGAGGUUAGUGCAAUGGCAUAAGCCAGCUUGACUGCGAGCGUGACGGCGCGAGCAGGUGCGAAAGCAGGUCAUAGUGAUCCGGUGGUUCUGAAUGGAAGGGCCAUCGCUCAACGGAUAAAAGGUACUCCGGGGAUAACAGGCUGAUACCGCCCAAGAGUUCAUAUCGACGGCGGUGUUUGGCACCUCGAUGUCGGCUCAUCACAUCCUGGGGCUGAAGUAGGUCCCAAGGGUAUGGCUGUUCGCCAUUUAAAGUGGUACGCGAGCUGGGUUUAGAACGUCGUGAGACAGUUCGGUCCCUAUCUGCCGUGGGCGCUGGAGAACUGAGGGGGGCUGCUCCUAGUACGAGAGGACCGGAGUGGACGCAUCACUGGUGUUCGGGUUGUCAUGCCAAUGGCACUGCCCGGUAGCUAAAUGCGGAAGAGAUAAGUGCUGAAAGCAUCUAAGCACGAAACUUGCCCCGAGAUGAGUUCUCCCUGACCCUUUAAGGGUCCUGAAGGAACGUUGAAGACGACGACGUUGAUAGGCCGGGUGUGUAAGCGCAGCGAUGCGUUGAGCUAACCGGUACUAAUGAACCGUGAGGCUUAACCUUACAACGCCGAAG